GCAGUGAAAACAUUUAUUUUUUACAAGUAAUCUUUAUUAUAGGUCAACAUUCAGACAUAGAGACCAUCACCAUGGGAAACUUCCGUGACCCCUCAGCCUAGCCCCAGGUGUGUGCACGGGCUCAGGACAGAGGUCGGACCCCAGCAGCAGGACAAACCAGCACAUGGACGACCAUGGUCCAUGAACCCGCAUUUAGCUUCUAACCACAACGUAUACAGGUUUCAGUGUAAACUGCUUCCCCUGCCCACCCGAAACACCAUCCCAUUUCCAAGGAGAUAAAACCGACCAGAAGUUGCUGAGCACAGGACCCACGCCCAGCCUCUUCCCUGAGGUGAGGUAGGAGAAUAAUGUCCAAGCUGGAGCCCAUCUCCUACCUCACAGGGACCCUCUGGGUGGGUCUGGGGUCAGGAGAGAGACCCCUUGGAAUGCGGCUUUGUCACUGGUUGUAUCUGAUGCCUAGAAAAUGGGUUUUAAU
rnacentral:lncRNA from 1 species